ensembl:lncRNA
CUCCUAAUAUAGGUGAAUGUACUUUACGUCCAAUCCAUCACAAACAUGUCAAAUUAAAACACACAGAACAUCAUACAGGCGUCAGCUAUAUCGUUCCAGUUGUCAGGUCUUGAGUUGGGGCAGAGUUCCAAAACAAAUUAACAAAACAAAGAAUUGCAUUCCUUACUAGCGAUCCCAAAGAAUGCAAAGGGAGGGCCGUGCUCCACCACCACUACUUGAGUCCAUUAAAUCUAGUGAUGGGAAGACAACGGCCAGGAACAUUUCAGGUUGGGAAUUGUUCUUGAUUGACUUCAUCAAGGACACUACCUUCAGAUUGUCAUCCUUUGACCAUUGGCUCGCCCUUCUAAAAGGCUGCACAAUGUAUUUUCAACGUUCAGCUGAGCCAAUACUAUAACGGUCUCUUUCAGUAAUAAGGAAGACGAAGGAGUAGACAAGUGAAUUUAUUGUUUACAGGCAGAAUUAUACACAAUGCCCCUUUAAGGUAUGAUCGUAUUUCUGUUCAGGAUUUUACACAGUGCCCCUUUAAGGUAUGAUCGUAUUUCUGUUCAGGAUUUAACACAGUGCCCCUUUAAGUUGGGAUUGUAUUUCUGUUGAGGAUUGUACACAGUGCCCAUUUAAGGUGUGAUUGUAUUUCAGUUCAGGAUUGUACACAGUGCCCAUUUAAGGUGUGAUUGUAAUUCUCUUCAGGAUUGGACACAGUGCCCUUUUAAGGUGUGAUUGUAUUUCUCUUCCGGAUUGUCCACAAAGCUCAGUUAAGGUGUGAUUGUAAUUCUCUUCAAGUCCACAUGCCUGUCCACGCUCCCCUGGAGGUGUAGUCCACAGUGACCCGCCAGGUAACCAAACUGAUUUACGGUUUAAAAAUGUCAGUUCUCUGUAUCUGGUAGAAUGGUGACACAUUCUCUGAAGAUCAGUGCUGAGCAGGCAGUGAUGCAGGAACCAACAAGCCCAAAAAAAUUCAUAACCUGAAAAAAUAAAGGUGAUUUUACAUUAAUUUCC